CAGCCGCCGCGGUAAUACGUAGGUGGCAAGCGUUGUCCGGAAUUAUUGGGCGUAAAGCGUGCGCAGGUGGUUUAAUAAGUCUGAUGUGAAAGCCCACGGCUCAACCGUGGAGGGUCAUUGGAAACUGUUAGACUUGAGUGCAGGAGAGAAAAGUGGAAUUCCUAGUGUAGCGGUGAAAUGCGUAGAGAUUAGGAGGAACACCAGUGGCGAAGGCGGCUUUUUGGCCUGUAACCGACACUGAGGCGCGAAAGCGUGGGGAGCAAACAGGAUUAGAUACCCCCGUAGUCCCUGUCUCUUAUAC
rnacentral:rRNA from 1 species